UACGUAGGGGGCAAGCGUUGUCCGGAUUUAUUGGGCGUAAAGCGCACGUAGGCGGCUUUCUAAGUCAGGGGUGAAAUCCUGGAGCUCAACUCCAGAACUGCCUUUGAUACUGGAGAGCUUGAGUCCGGAAGAGGUGAGUGGAACUCCGAGUGUAGAGGUGAAAUUCGUAGAUAUUCGGAAGAACACCAGUGGCGAAGGCGGCUCACUGGUCCGGUACUGACGCUGAGGUGCGAAAGCGUGGGGAGCAAACAGG
rnacentral:rRNA from 1 species